AAUGCUGACAUGGUCCAAAGAGGCUGAAAAGCCUUUCGGGAUAGAGAGGCAGAAGUGACAACACAUUGGCCGUUGGUUUGUCCACUGAGCUGGGCAAUUGGAUUGCAAACGUCUCAUCACCAAUCAAGGUGACAUAAUCAGUGCGUUAUUGGGGAGCGUAGUGGUGUGUACCGUGUGGGUUGGUGGUUGUGUCUCAACACAUUCCUAGAUAGACCUUGGGGUCGGGUUGUUUGAGAAUGCAGCCCAAAGCGGGUGGCAAACUCCGUCCAAGGCUAAAUGCACGAGUCCGAUAGGCGAAAAGCAUCAUGAUGGAAAUUUGAAAAAUACCUUGAAAAGAGAGAGAGAGUAAACAGUGUGUGAAACCGCCCAGAAAUGAACGGAUGGAGAUGAUCGGUGGGCUCUGUGGAUUUAGCUGGUGGGUGUGGUCUGAGCUUGGUCGAAUUAGCUGAUACUCGGGGCCUGUGUAACAUCGGGUUUCCACUUUCGAGUGGGGAUGCGUGAUGCACGUAUCACGGGUUGUGCGCCCGGGUUUUUCGGGACCAGCUUACCGG
rnacentral:ncRNA from 1 species